UUAAAACGCCAAUAUUAUAAUACAUAGGUCCCAAGGUUUUCAUAAAUCAACACUUGAAAAAUGACUAUUUUUUUCUUUUCUUAAAAAAAUAAUCACCCUUUUACAUAUUUGGACUAAAAUACCUUUUAAUUUUAAUUUUUUUUUGAAAAACUUUAAUUUUUUUCUUUUUUCUUUUUUCCCUACUUUCUCUUUCAAAACGUUUAGAUUAGGGUUUAUAUUGUUUUACCCUUGAAAAACCAUGGCCGCUGUCGUCCUCGCACCGCCAUCAUCCUUGCAUUUUGAAGCUCCAACCUUAAGAAGCCACCGAACCCAUCUUCGUCAAAGGGGCUUGGUUCCACUUCCACUUCAACCUUUCAAUAACUGAUAGCCUUCACGCAUGGAUCUGCCAAGUUUUUUUUUUUUUUUUUUUUUUCCAUUUUAAUGAUGAAAUAUAGGUUUGUGCUGACCAUUGCCUAUCCUUGUUCUUGUUUAACUAUUUAGUACAUGGUAUCUACUUAUCUAGUUCUCUAUCUUUGAUAAUUGAUAUAUAAAACGAAAUAUGUAUUUUAUUCAUAUGUGUGAUGAGUCAUUGUCAUCUGCAAACUCUUAUGUGCUAGCAUGAUUUUUUUACAUUUUUAAACAUGAUUUGAUCUAGAAAUUUUUUAGAGGAGUUAAAUAUAGAUUGGUCCACUUGACCAUAAAUUCACAAAGGUAGAUCACUAUUAUGGCUCGUGAUGUGAUGUUCCUUCGUUUUUGCUUCUAAGCAGAUUGUCUCUGCUGUUCUUGGGUCAAUAGGACUUUCAAAUGUUGGAAAUGGCAGUGAAGACUUUGAUUUCAGGGCAUAUGGCUCUCAAAGGUCUGAAAGAACAGUAGGUGCUACUGGAAUGUUUGACACAACACAGCUGCAACCUGAACAUGCUGGCAUGAGGGUUCCAUCAGAUAGAUUGCAUGGUGCCUUUGGCCAUUCAGCAGCAUUUUCUUUGGGGUAAUUCCCAAUUCUUUGACAUCUUUAUCCCAAUAUCUGAGAAGUAUAAGAAGUGAAUUUGAUGCCAUGGGUUAGAUUUCAACAUUACAACAUUUUAUGAAGUUAUACGUGCUAGUUACUCCUACACUAUUGGUGAAUUGUUUCGACAUUGUACUGAUAGGCAGAGAUGCGGGAACCAGUGGUUAAGCAGGUGCUGCCCAUACAAUUGAAUCAAGGAGUUCUAAUAAUGCACCUAGUAGCUCAGGAACAAGACUUGAAGGAUUUUCCACACCUGCAUCUUUGGCAGAAGUCAUGCUUUCUACAAGACAAAUGCUCCUUGAACAAACUUCCGCAAGUUUAUAUGUUCGUUUUAAUUUUCUCAUACUGAUAUAAUUCUUAAUAUGGAUUUCCAAUUUUUUGAAAUUUGCUGGUUUUAUAUAUCAGUAAUGUUUUUGGUUCUCAAUAUAGCAACCACUUUUUGGAGGCAACAUAAAAUGUGUCAUUUUAAUGGUCAAGAAUCUUAAUCGCCAUGGCCUUAUAGUACUUACAAAGCUUUUAAUU